UAGAACUUUAUUUAUCCAGAUAUUAGAAAUAAUAAAUGGUAAUAAAUGGAUGAAUAAACAAAACAACCUUAUUAACAGAGGUGAUGUAGUUCCCAAGCUAAGAAUAAGAAAAAAAUCAAUCUUUUUGUUGGUUGGAAGAUGUACCUGAUCUAAUGAAUUAGAGUAACAAGAACAAGAAAGCUUUUUUUUCUGUGAUAUAUAUAUCUAUAUAUAUAGAUAUAUGUAUAUAAAUUUUUUUUUAUUUAUUUUUUUUAUUAUUUAUUUAUUUAUUUAUUUAUUUAUUUUUAGUUUUGCGCUGCAACCCGAACAUGUCUGUAGCAACAGUUGAUCUCUUUUUUCCUCACCCAAUUAAUCCCUCAGGGCAGGAAUGAGAAAUAGAACAGGAAUCCAAAACAACAACAGCAACAACAAAAUCACUAAUACAAAAAAAAUCCAAAGUGAUCUAUUUAAAAGUGUGUCGGUUUUAUUUCUACAGUACCUAAGGCUUCCUAUAUAACCAGAGUAAUACGACAUAAUAUGUAAAGUAUGUUAUUAUAAAUUUACUUUGUUCUAACUGGUUUCCAACUAAAGAAGGGGAAUGUGGAACACUUGGGAUGUGGAGAAAGUGACAUUGUGCUUGAACACCUUCUAGGUAUGAAGCCAGGUAUGAAGAUUUGGUGCCCUUCAAUAAAAUGGACAACAUGACACACACAAACACACACACACAGUCACAGAACACGAUUACACUGAAUAACAGCAUUGUAAUGUAGACAAGGAUUGAUGAAACAUUUGAGCCAUUACAAAUAACGGCGUCCCCAAUGACACCGUUUCUCCUCUAAGCCAUGCCCCCUACUUGCUACAUUAUACACAUAUAACUGGAGAGAAGAGCUUUAAAGCGAAGACAGGAACUCAGGAGAUCAGGAAUUAGACAUCAUGGGAAUGGGGUAGAAAUCUACCAACCUAAAGCAAGAACUAAGAAAAAAAAAUUCCCAGAAUCGUCUACAUUUGUUCUUAAGGUCAGAUCCGAAAACCAGUUAUGGUUUUGUGUGUGUUGUGUGUCAUGGAUACAUGUACACACAACAUUUUGAAGCCAUGCUGUGCUAACAAGACAUUCAGAGUCAGCCUGGAGUGUAGAUAAUUAUUCAGUUCACAUUUGUUUGUUGUGUGUGUGUGUGUGUGUGUGUGUGUGUGUGUGUGUGUAACUGCAGACCAGUAUCUAAGGCAGACCAUUCAUUAGCCUAACUCAGCUGGCAAUACGAGCCUGGCUACAGCUUUACCAGCUCACCAUAUUAUAUUACAAAGUACACACACACACACACACAAGCUACAGACACGGUUGACCGUCCCUCAGUGAGCAUUUAAAAGUGUUAAAAGUGUUGUGGUUACCUGCACGAGUCUUGAAACUACAGUAAGAAUUGUGUGUCGUUUCGGGGUGUGUGGUGUAUUUGAUGUCGCAGCACUCUGGUGUGUCUGAGGAGCAAACGUCCAGGCUGGUUAGUAAUUUAGUUGCACAAUUAACGUUGUCAUUUUGUAGUCAUGCAUUUGUUAAAAAUUGCUGUCAUACUCAUACAAUUUUCAAAAAUCAGGAAAGAUUCUUAAAGUCAAAAUGAUAUAAUAUUUGUUUCUGUGUGUGUUUGUGUGUGUGUGUGUGUGUGUGUGUGUGUGUGGCAGAUGGCCUCUCCCUUCACUGAGCUGGAGUGCUACAUCAUUCUUUUUUCUCUGUUCGUCUUCAGUCUGUUUACGUUGCAUGGCAUGAUCCAUGAGCGAUGUAUACCUUCGAACGGUACAGCUAAAGAAAUACCCCAAGAACAUCAAGAACCGCUCAUAGUCUGAGCCUCGGCCUCAUUUGGAAUGACUGGAUCAACAGUUACGCCAACAGACUUUUUUUAUACGUAAAUUUUAUACGUAACUCCAGGGUUUCCUUACGCCGUAUCUCAAACCCGGAUUCUGAUACUGCACUUUAUAUCCGUCAGCAGACUGAUAAUGGGAGCGUGGUUAUAUUUGACCAAAAGGGCAUGUCUGAAAGGUGCGUGUGUGUGUGUGUGUGUCAUGCUGAUGUGGUUUACUGGCUGCUCUAAAAACCUCCUAGAAGAAGUAUUUUUGUAAGAAACUCUAAAAUAUUUUUUACGUGAAUUUAGGAUUUUUCAUUCUGAAGGUAAAAGAUUCUACAUAUCUCUCGCUGUCUUUCACACACACACACACACACACUCACACACACACACACACACACACACACACUGAGCUCACAAUUUUGACUGAAAAUUGACUCAGACAUGUAGAUAUGCAAAAUUUUUGUAUGUCCUUAAAACUACAUUUUUUUUGUCUUUUUGUUGUGCUAUUAAAUUUUGUUCAACUUUAUUAUAUUCAGUCAGAUGUAAUGAGUAAUUUGUGGUUUGUCUUGCCUUCUUUGAUUAUAAAAGAGUCAGAUGUGCUAUGUAAAUAGUGUGUGUGUGUGUGUGUGUGUGUGUGUGUCUGUGUGUGAGUGUGAAAGCAAUGGAGACACUUGUUUUCGACAUUGUGCAUAUGUCAACAGAGGCCUUAGGGGACUACAGGGAAAAGGGAUACUCUGUGUUCAAGUGCUCCUGGAAGAAUUUCCAAUAAUUAUGAAUCUUAACUAUUUGUAAAAUAUACAGCAAGGUUCUUUUUUAAUGCUUUUCUAAAAUUCUGCUAAUAAUUACAACUUCGUCCUGUCAACCCUGGACGUGCCAUGAAAUCAGCAUGGCAGCUUGAUAAAGCCAUAGAUAGAUGGAUGGAUGGAUGGAUAGAUAGAUAGAUAGAUAGAUACUUUAUUGAUCCCAGAGGAAAUUCAUGACAUGGUAAUGCAAAUAUAUUAGUUGAGUCUUUCCAACACAAUUGAAUUAUAGCAAGCUUUAACUACGGUUUCAUUCCUGCAUUUUCCAAAAUUUGUCCCUUAAUACAAGGAGGCAGUGUAAUCUCCAGCCAUACUGGAGACCAGCCUUGGCAUCGCGUUUCACAUUUCGACGUUCAUUAAUAUUGAUCAGCUUUAAGGUCACGGCCAUGUGAAGAGACAGAGAGCUGGUGGACAAUUAAAAAAAAGGUUAAAAAGACUUUUUCAACAUUUUAAUUGAACAGUUAACAUUUAAAGGUCUAAUGCAAGAUGUAGGAAUUGUGAAACGUUGUUUUGUUGAAGUCUGGCAUACAGCAUGUAUUGGUUAAGUUGCUGUCAUUCAGAGGUUUAAAGUAGAAUAAAUUAUAGUGUUUUUAGGUUGUUUUCACUCACACACAUAAAUGCACAAAUUACACAAAUUCCUCUACAUAUUAUAUACAAACAACUGUGUAUAUUUUAUAUUUCAGCAUCCAAGCAAGUUUUUGUUUGUGUUGUAAGCAGGCAUGUGUAUGUGUGUCUGCGUAGAGUGUUAUGGAGAUUCCGUUCUCAGGAUUUGAGUUGCUCUUCAUAGUCGUAGCCAUUACUGUGUUCUGCGUGUUCGGACUGGUUGCUAUCUAUACACGCAGCCAGCAUGCAGACAACCAAGGUGAAAGUGGUUUCACAGAGCAGAACCUGACCCGUCAUAAGAGAAGGCUUAAAAGAAAACAGGAAUACCAGCCAUCAAGGGCAUAAACUAUCAGCUUCUGUAAACAGAGAACCUAACAAAUAUAAUUUACGGGUUCAUCUACAGCACCCACGAGGUAGUUUGUCUAACAAAGUGGCUAGGAAGUGUACACGGUACUGCUAUACACACACUUAUACCACUAUAGUGCCAAAAUAGGGACUGAUUGGAUUUUAAAAAAGUACCUUUUGCAGGGGUGUAAAUGCAACACCAAAGUUUUGAAUAUGUGUAAUGAGAAUAUACGUAAACAGAUAUUUGAAUCGAUUACAAUGUUUAAGGUAAAUAAAAACAGUAAUUUUGGAAUAUGCAAUCAGAUCGAAUUAAUGUAGAACGACACAAACGGCCACAGGUAUAGAUGGGCAGGAAAAUGGCCAAUAUGUAUGUUCUUGUGGUUCAGGGAUGAAAUUAUACAGCUUGUAGAAUAGUUACAUGUUGUGUAUUAAAAGAAAAAGUCCUUAUGUUGUAUAGAUACGCCUGGGUAAGAGAAAUAAGCAAUUGUACGAAAGAAGAAGUUGGGAGUGAUUAAAAUGUAAGCGGAAGUUUUUGUGGAAACGUGUGCGUUUAUUUCCCACCUUUGUUCUAUUUUCCAAUUACAGUGGAUUUCGAUAGAUAGAUAGAUAGAUAGAUAGAUAGAUAGAUAGAUAGAUAGAUAGAUAGAUAGUUAGAUAGAUAGAUAGAUAGAUAGAUAGAUAGAUAGAUAGAUAGAUAGAUGUGGACUGAAUACUAAACCAAGCGCACUGAUUGGUUUUCUGGUCCAGAUCCAAUGUUCUUUUUUUUUUGCAGCAUGUAUGCUGACUGUAACAAAACAGUUUGUCAUUUGUUUACUCACAGAUAAUGGCACGUUACUUCAGUGUAGUGAAUCUUUUUUAUGUAUAUAUUUGCCUUUUUAUUGGACAGAAUGGAUCAGAGAUUCAUAGAUUUUCCGCAAGAGCAGCGAGAGUUGGAUCAGGGCAUGUUUGUGAAUGAGAAUUUAAGGUGCUUCGCAAUUAGAAGGUUUGACAAAUUAAUAGAACAUAAAAAAAACAACCAGGUAAAAAAAAUAAAUUUAAAAAAAUGAAAAACUCGCAAAUAUUUUUUUGUAUUGACCUCCUUAUUUUGCUCUGUUAACACAUUAUACUGUAUUUAUAUGUAUAUAUAUUUUGUUAGAUAGCAUAAAAAGUAGAAAGAAGGAGUUUGAAGUAGGACAUGACAUCUUAUGCCCUAUAAUCUCUUGUCUCUUGUUGUGCUGGCUGUAUGAACUCUAUCCUCCCAGCUCCGGACUAGUCAGUGCUGGUUUUUAACGCAAGCACCACAAUAACCCAUAAUAAAUUCACAUCCAUGUCAACAAAACGUAUUCAUUUACUUAACUUAUACAAAAUAAUCCUAUUCAUGACUCUACUGUUAAAAUGUGUAGAUCAUUCUCGAAGUCACUUAGCAAAUGACUUUUAUUUUCAGCUAAAAAUUUCAUUUCCCCCAGUUUUAUUUUACUAUUUAAAAAAAAGCAGUAUAGAUCAUUGCAUUACUUUGAUAUGUGAUAUGUCUUAAUACUAAUACGCGUUAACUUGUGGAUAACUGUGAAUAUACUGUCCUCUGCUGGCGUCAUUCAUUAUGGUUAGAAAUUAAUGUAUAUGUUUAUAUACGUGUACAUAUAUGUAUAGUAAAUGAUAUAUACUAUCAAUCAAUACACUAUCAAUAGUUUCAUGUAAUUUGUUCAAUUUAUACACCAACCCUCAUUACACGUAUCAGAUCUAUCUACGGUUCAUUCAUUCAUUCAUCUUCUACCGCUUAUCCGAACUACCUCGGGUCACGGGGAGCCUGUGCCUAUCUCAGGCGUCAUUGGGCAUCAAGGCAGGAUACACCCUGGACGGAGUGCCAACCCAUCGCAGGGCACACACACACUCUCAUUCACUCACGCACUACAGACAAUUUUCCAGAGAUGCCAAUCAACCUACCAUGCAUGUCUUUGGACCGGGGGAGGAAACCGGAGUGCCCGGAGGAAACCCCCGAGGCACGGGGAGGACAUGCAAACUCCACACACACAAGGUGGAGGCGGGAAUCGAACCCCGACCCUGGAGGUGUGAGGCGAACGUGCUAACCACUAAGCCACCGUCCACCCCGUCUAGCUACGGUUCUUUCUAUUAAAUUAAGAUCUAAACAUGUCAAUAUGGCAUGCCUAUCUAAAAAGUGUAUAAAAUAUAAAUGAACACUGUUAAAUCAGGCUUUCAGAAUGACUAAUAAAAUCCAACUUGUUUAUUUACAUUAUGCAAUAAUGAAAUUAGUAGUCUAACAGUUAACUAAUGGUUUGGACAUAAAGCAGAAGCUCAGAUUAGUUAAUGUGACACUGGUUAUUUAAAUCUCUCUAGCAUCAGUCAAGUCGAAAUGUCGAACCUGAUAUGACUGUCAGGCGGUUGUUAGUGCUAGACAAGCUGGUUUGAAUAUUUCAGAAUUUGAAAUUGAUCUCAUGAGAUUUUUUUGAUAGUUAACACAGAAUAGUGUGGGAAAAAAUUCCAGAAGAAACUUCUUACAACAAUGGUGAGCAGAAAAGCAUCUCAGGAUGCACAAUAACAAAAUCUAAAGAAAGAAUCUCAAUAAAAGUGUCAGUUCACAGGAAACCAGUGACCCAACUUGCAAUUCAGUUGGGUGAUGAUGAUGAUGAUGAUGAUAAUGCGUCCUAUCGCAUAGCACAAGUCAUCCCAAACUGCUCUUAUGGACACAAUUGUGAGUUCGGUGAACUUCAGUGGUCACCAGAUGUUCUUCACUGGUCACCAGAUGUUCAAUAUCUAAUCGAGAAAUUAUGGGAUUCAAUCAACAUUGGAGCAGAAUCUUAAAUGAAUUUAAAGGAAAGACCUUGUGGAAUCUGUGGCAUGAGGAAUUUUCAAAAGCAAAGGGGCGGUUCUAAUCCAGUGUGUGUGUGUGUGUGUGUGUGUGUGUAAGAGAGGAAGAAGGGGGUGUGGUUUGUGAGCUUGUUUCCUGGUAGUAACUAUAUAGGCAUUGUAAAGUCUUGUGUGUGUGUGUGUGUGUGUGUGUGUAUGUGUGUGUGUGUGUGUGUGUGUUGUAAACUUGAAGAGGAGGUUUAAUUGAAGGUUAAGGAGGAAGGAAGCUUAUGGUAGGAUGUCGCUCUUAUCUGCUCGAGGAACAAUCAAUAAAGUUCAAUACUGAUAAAACUUCCUGUCAGCGGCUCACUCAAUGCCUGUAUGACUGAACACACUUGACACCAACAAUAACAAGUUCACUUUGAACUCACUCUUAGGCACACAAUGUGUGUGUUUGUGUGUGUGUGUGUGAGAGAGAGAGAGAGAGAGAGAGAGAGAGAGAGCAGUAUUCUAUCUAUUCUAUAUAUAACCUACAGAUCCCUGAUCUCUGCUGUACAUACAGAGAGUAGAACCAGACUUUGGCUCAACGUCACACCCAACAGUACACCCAUGCACACAACCUGCCUUAUGUCAACAUUUCAAGCUGGUGGGGGUUGAUAACAGUGUGGGAAAUGCUUUCUUGGCACAUAAAGGCCACAAAUCAAGCAUCAAGUAUUGUAGAAAAGAUCCACGAGAAAGAAGGCAGAUUUUUAUUUUUUUCUUCUUCAUUUCAUUUUGACCUAAGAAUAACUUUUUGAUUAGAAUUUCACUUUACCUCCUUGAGGUGAAAGAACCUAAAACAAACGCUUGAGACAAACGCUAAAACUGACACGUGAUACCAAAAGCACUGACUAAUCACCAUCAAAUCAAUAAAUAACGUAGCUGUAUACUCUAACCAGUAGGUUUAAAUACGUUUCUAUCGGUGCGUUCAUCGGGAAAGUUUCACACAACUGGCAAGCUGAAGUGGUGUCGAGAGUUUUUUUGAAUAUUUUUAAUCGAUUCACAAAGACACUUUUGCUGAGCGAAUUCUCAGGAUUGUAAAAAAGUCGUAAAGGAUUCGGAUAAAUACUCUUACCUUAAAGACAAUACCAUGCCACAGAAACCUGAAACAAACAACAAAGGACAAGUAAGGUGAUACCUGUGGAUUUGCCGGCUUGAGAAUCUUUGGAGUCGAGAGCCUACCAUGAACAAAAGUACUGUUUGUAUUGGAGGAUUCCACUGAGGAAAUCACUGCAAUCCAAAAAAAAAACAACAACAACAACAAAAAAAAACAUUGCUGCACUUUUUAUUAUUGCUAGACACUACCUAUAUGUUAUAUAGUGAAAAAUUAGUUUUACUGUUUUUUUAGGAAAUAUAACUCAACAUAUAGGAAGGAUGUCAUUAAAUAUGUCGGAACUUAGAGCCCGUCUCCAAGUCGGCACAUAUCAGGGUGAAUUAUACUGAUAUACUUUAUAAUACUUUUAUACUAUAUAAUUGUUACUUAAACUUAAUUUACUGAUAGCACUAACAUUAAUACGAAUUAAAACAAUGGGAAAGCUCCUCAGACCUGGAUGAGAAUGAGCAAACUUCUUUAUUGUGGUCAAUCAGCUAACAAUUCUCUAAGAGAAUUUGCCAAUUUGAAAGUAACAAAAGAAAUCCCAAAAACCCAAAAAAAGAGCAUCUUCAUGAAGAGCAUCGGCAUGCAAAAACAAAAAAACCCUCAGGACGGUCCUGCAAAGUAACGUUUUUUUUUACACAUACACAUUUGGCCCCAAAAAUUCUCCUCUAUAUAUACGCUUCCAAGCGCCUUCUUAUUGGUUCCCCUCCUCACAGACCCGUUUUCAUUUCACCUUAUCAUUAUGUCACCUUAUUUACCGGAAUCAUCUCAUAUGUUUUUGUAACGUCCUGUUCCUUACAAUCCCCUUGUUUUUCCUUCACCUUUUGCCCAUAUGCCCAUUUAUGGAUUUUCCUCCCCUUAGUUCCCCGGGGCCCAGGUCCGGGAGCCCAGGCCUGUGACCCUGGGUCUUCUUCGUUCGACAUAACAAUUAUGUCUAAACAACAAUUUUGUUAUUAAAAGUGUGCUCAAAAAAGAGCCUCACUCCCUGGUCGAAGUUACAUUUGCCUCUAAGUUUUUCCAUGCCAGACGUCCUGAAGAUUAAUCCUUCAUUCAACUACAAUGGAUCCUUCGCGUCAGCCAGCUCAUCCUGGUCGCCCCAUCAUGUCCUCACCUCACCAUCCUCGUCCUUCUCCCUACCCAAGGCCAGUGCCCGCUGAUGUCAUGGAGAGCUAUCGCCGCUUCCAGCUACUUCAUAUCACCCAUGAGCUCAUUACGUGUCUGGAACAGCUCUGUUCUCCUGACCUCCCGAGCAUCCUCAUCUGCUGUUCCAUAUUGUGAGGGGGCCUCUUACUAGCACUUCCUCGACUCAAACCCCUCUACCUAACCUCGUGGACCAGAGAACCCAAACUGAUGGCUGUCCUUAUGACCCUGUUUCCACAUUAUUCCAUCCCCUGUCUAUAAUAGACAGUCCACCUUCUGAUAUUUAUUAUUUAUAAUAAAUUUUUCACUUCCAACUCUUCAUAGAUAAUGGAUCCAUCUAUCCAUCCAUUUUCUGUACACAAGAUCACAUGGAACAUGGAAUCUAUCCCGAGAGAUGCAGUGCACACUCUGGAUAGGGUGCCAAUACUUUAAAAAUCACGCACAAUCACACACAACAAUACCACAGCAAAUUAAUAAUAAUAAAAAAAAAAAAAAACAGAAAACACUAUGAUCUCGACUGUUAAUACGACU